AACGUACGCUGGCGGCACGCCUAACACAUGCAAGUCGAACGAAGUAGCAAUACUUAGUGGCAGACGGGUGAGUAACAUGUGGGUAUCUGCCCUUUGGCCUGGAAUAACACGAGGAAACUUGUGCUAAUACCGGAUAAGUCUUUACGGAGAAAGCUUUAUGCACCAUUGGAUGAGCCCGCACUUGAUUAGUUUGUUGGUGGGGUAAUGGCCUACCAAGACUGUGAUCAAUAGCUGAUUUGAGAGGAUGAUCAGCCACAUUGGGACUGAGACACGGCCCAAACUCCUACGGGAGGCAGCAGUGGGGAAUCUUGCACAAUGGAGGAAACUCUGAUGCAGCGAUGCCGCGUGAGUGAAGAAGGCCCUUGGGUUGUAAAGCUCUUUCGUCGGGGAAGAAAAUGACUGUACCCGAAUAAGAAGGUCCGGCUAACUUCGUGCCAGCAGCCGCGGUAAUACGAAGGGACCUAGCGUAGUUCGGAAUUACUGGGCUUAAAGAGUUCGUAGGUGGUUGAAAAAGUUAGUGGUGAAAUCCCAGAGCUUAACUCUGGAACUGCCAUUAAAACUUUUUAGCUAGAGUAUGAUAGAGGAAAGCAGAAUUUCUAGUGUAGAGGUGAAAUUCGUAGAUAUUAGAAAGAAUACCAAUUGCGAAGGCAGCUUUCUGGAUCAUUACUGACACUGAGGAACGAAAGCAUGGGUAGCGAAGAGGAUUAGAUACCCUCGUAGUCCAUGCCGUAAACGAUGUGUGUUAGACGUUGGAAAUUUAUUUUCAGUGUCGCAGCGAAAGCGAUAAACACACCGCCUGGGGAGUACGACCGCAAGGUUAAAACUCAAAUGAAUUGACGGGGACCCGCACAAGUAGUGGAGCAUGUGGUUUAAUUCGAAGAUACGCGCAGAACCUUACCAACACUUGACAUGUUCGUCGCGACUCUAAGAGAUUAGAGUUUUCGGUUCGGCCGGACGAAACACAGGUGCUGCAUGGCUGUCGUCAGCUCGUGUCGUGAGAUGUUGGGUUAAGUCCCGCAACGAGCGCAACCCUCACUUUUAGUUGCCAUCAUUAAGUUGGGCACUCUGAAAGAACUGCCAGUGAUAAGCUGGAGGAAGGUGGGGAUGACGUCAAGUCCUCAUGGCCCUUACGUGUUGGGCUACACACGUGCUACAAUGGUAUCUACAACAGGAAGCAAGACUGCAAGGUCAAGCAAAUCCUUAAAAGAUACCUCAGUUCGGAUUGCACUCUGCAACUCGAGUGCAUGAAGCUGGAAUUACUAGUAAUCGUGGAUCAGCGUGCCACGGUGAAUGCGUUCCCGGGUCU
rnacentral:rRNA from 1 species